rnacentral:rRNA from 1 species
UACGUAGGGGGCAAGCGUUGUCCGGAUUUAUUGGGCGUAAAGAGCGUGUAGGCGGCCAUGCAGGUCCGUUGUGAAAACUCGAGGCUCAACCUCGAGACGUCGAUGGAAACCGCAUGGCUAGAGUCCGGAAGAGGAGAGUGGAAUUCCUGGUGUAGCGGUGAAAUGCGCAGAUAUCAGGAAGAACACCAAUGGCGAAAGCAGCUCUCUGGGACGGUACUGACGCCUGAGACGCGAAAGCGUGGGGAGCGAACAGG